GGGCAAGUUUAUUGGGGAUGGAAGAUAGCACAUUUUUACUUAUUUUUUUGAAAUAUUUUUUUUUUUUUUUUUUUUUGUUCUGCCAGCAUCACCUACAGAUAACAAUGGGAAUGGCACAAUCUUCUUGGUUUGUGAGUCUUGGUCACCUCCGUGCAUGGUAGUUGGUUUUAUAUUUUUAAGAAGGCUUUAUCUCACACUCUUUCUUGGGAUGCUGUGGUUCAUGAUGAAUUUGUACUGUGGUUGUGACAGUUGGCACUGGGCUGGCCUCUGAGGCUGGAGUGUUUGGUUUUCAGUACUUGGAUUUACCUAACAGAAGAAAAUUGAUCCUUCUGGCUCUUUCAUACAUAGGAAAGGAUCUCGGGUCUCUGACCAGCAGAUGUUUGAAGGAAAAAGGAGGCCGACUGUGACCCAGGGAGAGACCAGGUGCCAAAAUGUUCUGCUAUAGACGGAAACCACCCGAAGUGGAACGAAUCGUGAAAGCCAAUGACCGUGAAUACAAUGAAACGUUCCAGUAUGUGGAUAAUCGGAUCCACACAUCCAAGUACAACUUUCUCACCUUCUUGCCAAUUAAUUUAUUCGAACAGUUCCAGAGAGUGGCGAAUGCCUAUUUCCUUUUCCUCCUGAUAUUACAGCUAAUUCCAGAAAUCUCCUCCUUGAGCUGGUUCACCACCAUUGUGCCUCUGGUCCUGGUGAUCACUAUGACCGCUGGGAAAGAUGCCACUGAUGAUUAUUUUCGUCACAAGAGUGAUAAUCAAGUGAAUAAUCGGCAGUCUGAAGUGCUCAUUGAUGGCAAACUGCAGAAUGAAAAAUGGAUGAAUGUCAAAGUGGGAGACAUCAUUAAACUCGAAAACAACCAGUUUGUUGCUGCCGAUCUGCUGCUUCUAUCAAGUAGUGAACCCCACGGUCUCUGUUACAUUGAAACUGCGGAGCUUGAUGGGGAGACAAACCUUAAGGUUCGUCAUGCACUCUCCGUUACCUCAGAACUUGGAGCAGACAUCAGCAGGCUUGCAAGCUUUGAUGGGACUGUGGUCUGUGAGGCACCUAACAACAAAUUAGAUAAGUUCACGGGAGUCCUCUCCUGGAAGGACAGCAAGCACUUGCUCAGCAACCAGAUGAUCAUCCUGAGAGGCUGCGUCCUGAGAAACACCAGCUGGUGCUUUGGGAUGGUUAUUUUUGCAGGUCCGGACACUAAACUCAUGCAGAACAGUGGUAAGACAAAGUUUAAACGGACCAGCAUAGACAGAUUGAUGAAUACACUAGUGCUUUGGAUUUUUGGGUUUUUGGUAUGCUUGGGAAUUAUUCUUGCAAUAGGAAAUUUGAUCUGGGAGAAAAAAGUUGGAGACCAGUUCAGAACUUUCGUCUUUUGGAAUAAAGAAGAGAAGAAUUCCGUGUUCUCAGGAUUCUUGACGUUCUGGUCAUACAUUAUCAUUCUCAAUACGGUUGUGCCCAUUUCAUUAUAUGUGAGUAUGGAAGUGAUCCGUCUGGUCCACAGUUAUUUUAUCAACUGGGACCGGAAGAUGUAUUACCCCGGGAAGGCGGCACCUGCUGAAGCCCGCACGACCACGCUCAACGAAGAGUUGGGCCAGAUUGAGUACGUUUUCUCUGACAAAACAGGCACCCUCACUCAGAACAUCAUGACUUUCAAAAAGUGCUCCAUCAAUGGGAAGAUAUAUGGUGAAGAACAUGAUGACCCAGUUCAGAAGAGAGAAAUAACUAAGAAAACAAAGUCUGUGGAUUUCUCAGAGAAGUCUCCAGCAGAAAGAUCUCAGUUCUUUGACCUCCGUCUGCUGGAAUCCAUCAAACUGGGGGACCCCACAGUGCACGAGUUCUUCAGGCUGCUGGCUCUGUGCCACACCGUGAUGUCCGAGGAGGACAGCUCAGGAAAUCUAACUUACCAAGUUCAGUCACCUGAUGAAGGGGCCCUGGUAACUGCUGCCAAAAGCUGUGGCUUCAUUUUUAAGUCUCGGACUCCGGAGACAAUCACAAUAGAAGAACUGGGAACACUUGUUACUUACCAACUGCUCGCCUUUUUGGAUUUCAACAAUGUCCGGAAAAGGAUGUCGAUCAUAGUUCGAAACCCAGCGGGGCAGAUAAAACUUUAUUCCAAAGGAGCAGACACCAUCCUGUUUGAAAGACUGCACCCUUCCAGCAAAGACCUUCUGUCUGUGACAUCGGACCAUCUCAGCGAGUUCGCAGGGGAAGGCCUUCGGACCUUGGCGAUCGCCUACAGAGAUCUGGAGGACAAAUACUUCAAGGAAUGGCAUAAGAUGCUCCAGGUUGCCAGUGCUGCCAGCCAUGAGAGGGACGAGCAGAUAUCGGCACUGUAUGAGGAAAUCGAAAGGGACCUGAUGCUCCUAGGUGCCACUGCCGUGGAAGAUAAGUUACAAGAAGGUGUAAUUGAAACGAUUGCAAGUUUAUCCCUGGCCAAUAUUAAGAUCUGGGUUCUAACAGGAGACAAACAAGAAACUGCCGUCAACAUUGGUUAUGCCUGCAACAUGCUGACCGAGGACAUGAAUGAUGUGUUUGUGAUAGCGGGGAACUCCGUUGAGGAAGUGAGAGAAGAGCUCAGGAAGGCAAAGGAAAGUUUGGUUGGACAAAGCAACAGCGUUCUCGAUGGCCAUGCAGUGUAUGGACAGGGGCAGAAGCUGGAGCUGGCCUCACUGGGAGAAGACACCCUAACAGGGGAUUACGCCUUGGUCGUGAACGGGCACAGUUUGGCCCAUGCCCUUGAGAGCGACGUCAAGCAUGAUUUCUUGGAACUCGCCUGCCUGUGUAAGGCCGUGGUCUGCUGCAGAACCACCCCGCUCCAAAAGGCGCAAGUGGUCGAACUGGUGAAGAAGCACAGGAAUGCUGUCACUCUGGCCAUCGGCGAUGGGGCCAACGAUGUCAGCAUGAUUAAAAGUGCUCACAUCGGCGUCGGCAUCAGCGGCCAGGAAGGGCUUCAAGCAGCCUUGGCCAGCGACUACUCCUUUGCCCAGUUUAGAUACCUGCAGAGGCUUCUCCUCAUCCACGGAAGGUGGUCCUACUUCCGAAUGUGCAAAUUCCUGCGCUAUUUCUUCUACAAGAACUUUGCAUUUACACUCGUGCAUUGCUGGUUUGGUUUCUUCUGUGGCUUCUCAGCCCAGACUGUUUAUGACCAGUGGUUCAUCACGCUUUUCAACAUUGUCUACACAUCAUUACCAGUUUUGGCCAUGGGGAUUUUUGACCAGGAUGUGAGUGACCAGAACAGCAUGGACUGUCCCCAGCUCUAUGAACCUGGGCAGCUGAACAUACUUUUUAACAAGCGUAAAUUCUUCAUCUGCGUGGCGCAUGGAGUCUACACCUCGUUAGCUCUGUUCUUCAUCCCCUACGGGGCCUUUUACAACGCGGCCGGAGAAGACGGGCAGCACGUGGCUGACUACCAGUCCUUUGCCGUCACCAUGGCCACUUCUCUGAUCUUCGUGGUCAGUGUGCAGAUAGCCUUGGAUACCAGCUACUGGACAGUCAUUAACCAUGUCUUCAUCUGGGGCAGCAUUGCUACUUACUUCUUCAUCUUAUUUACCAUGCACAGUAAUGGCAUUUUUGGAAUGUUCCCAAACCAAUUUCCAUUUGUUGGAAAUGCAUGGCAUUCUUUGUCCCAGAAGUGCAUCUGGCUUGUUAUUCUCUUAACAACUGUGGCCUCAGUUAUGCCUGUGGUGGUGUUCAGGUUUCUGAAGAUAAAUUUAUGCCCAUCUCGGACUGACCAGAUCCGCCGGUGGCAGAAGGCUCAGAAAAAGGCAAGGCCCGUCCAGAGGCAAAGGCCUCAGAGCCGCAGGUCAAGCUCAAGAAGAUCUGGCUACGCUUUCGCUCACCAAGAGGGUUAUGGAGAGCUUAUCACAUCUGGAAAAAAUAUGCGAGCGAGAAAUCCACCCCCAACAUCAAGGCUGGAAAAGCCGCUUUAUAAUAGCACUAGCUGGCUCGAAAAUUUGUGUCCUCACUCUGGUGCCAAACUCCAGGUUGAUGUUUUGCCUGGGAUGGUUGAACAUGUGUAGAGGCUGGCUCAUAGUUCGCUAAAGGAUCCGUACGCCUUACUUUCCUCCCCUCUCCACCACUGUAAAUCUCAAAAGCCGACAGAUACAAAGUGCUGUGGAGUGAGGUGUAGUUCUUUGGUGAGGAUCCGGGCUCCUCAGGUUCAGCUUUGCCCCUCGGUUUGAGAUCCUCAGUGACUGAAGAUUUGCUUUCCUGACACCGCUGACUGAACAGGACUCCUACCUACCAGGGAUAGCUCCUGUGAGGCUCCGAUGAGAUAUUUCAUAAUGCCCUUCAGCUCGUUCUGAGUACAGAGUGCUAGUGAUGAAUGCACGUCGAUCUGGUCUAAACUGCCUGUAAGAACUCUGGACACAUCACUUUCCCUCCACCUCAUCCCCGUUCUUCCUCCUUUCACUCACACCUGGGAUCCUUCAUCCACCGGACACCUAUAGGGCUGAAAUGAAGGACUGCAGUGGAAGCCUCCAAACCGGUACUAGACUAUGUUUUCUACCUGGCCCUCUGCUAAGUGGCCUGGGGUUUUCUCUAAAUUAGCAUCUUAAAUCAGCCAGAGGUCGUCAAAGAAGAUGAACGGAGAACAUGCUCCACAUCCUCACCUCGGGUCUGUGCUUUUCUGCGCAUCAGUGAUGACUAGGACAGGAUUAUAGGGUGCCUGGUCUGUCCUCAGUGUCCUCUUUGCUGAGGUCUGUCAUCUUGCCACCUCACAUUCCGUCUCCAUCUAUGUUACUCUUCUGACCCUGUUGCGAGCUCUCUGAAAGCAUUGCAGCUGAUACCUCUGCAUCCUGACUUGAUAUACCUUCUGCUUAAUGCAUGAGCCACCUUUAGAAGGGCCCUCAGGUGGCAUUCAACCUCUACAGCGCGUUCCCAGUGAUGCUGUGCUUCUAGCUCAAGGUCGCAGGACCCCGAGUGGACAGCCCUGCUGUGAAGAGGUCAGUUCCUCCCCUUGGCUUGAGAACUGUUUCCUCUCUGACGCUCACCACUGCCUGCCUCUGCCUUUGGAGAACAGAAUGGACAGACGCCUCCCUCACAACAGCACCUCAAAUAUUUGGAGACAGCCGUUCCAUCCUUUGUUGCCACCUCCUCUCUUCCAGGUUAAAUAGUAGCUUUUAUUGCUUGCCUGCCUGCUGUAGUCUUUGAAGGAGUUGGCCAUCUAGGGAUCUGUGUGAGCUGUUGUAGUUCCUGACCUCACAAAUAUUUUAACCUUCAUUGUCUAGAUUUGGGAGGGAGUACCCUGAGAUUAGCAAAAUACAGAAAAAUACAAACAGGCUAAGGAUUGCAGGAGAAUAGUUUGCAAAGCCUGGAUAAUGGAAAUCCAAGUGGUCAAGGGAGUUUCACUAAUACCUCUUGGUAGGACACACCUCUUCUGGCUCUCUGGAGCUGAAUGCAUAAGUCCUCAGUGACCUCUGCAUGAAAGAGCUGAGGAGCAAAAGAUAAAAAGUUCCCAUAGUAAAAGGAAAGGCUUGAGGAUUACAAGUGUCAUGGUUUGUGUCUGGCUGUCCCCCCAAAGCCUCAUGCUGUCAUGGGGACAGGCUCUUAGGAGUUUAUGACUGACUCAUGGUCCAGUGCUGGCAUUAUGGAUGUGAGUGCUGCAACAAGUGGCUGUGGCCUACAUACAAUAUAAGGGACAAAAAGAGUCUUCUCCCUUUGUCCCUCCCAUUUGGUUCUUGUUGCUUUUGCUGUCUUCCGCCUCCAUGAACAAUUGCCCUCUGCCAUGUGCCACCCUACCUUGGAGCCAGUUGAUUAUGGACUGAAACCUCCACAAACUGUGAGCUAAAUAAACCUUUCUUUCCAAAGUUUUGGGCCUCAGGUAUUGUUGUAACUUCCAACACAAUAGGAAGUUAUAAAGGGGUCCCUGAGAGAAAACUAUGGGACAGAUGAGUUGCAAGGAAGAAGUGGACAAGAAAAUACACCACAUCACAGAGGAAAGGUGGGGGGGGAAGGAGUGUGGCUAUCACUUGGGAGGCCUAUCAGUUACCUGGAGAAGGAGGCAGUUAGCAAAGACACUUGGCUUCUUGAAGCUUCACUGCCCUAUCUGGACCAUAGAAAUUCCUGGACAUUCCUUGAGUAGUAGUGAGGAUUUCUAAGUGCAUAGAAUGGCCCUUAGCCUUACAUACAGUGUCUCCUCCAGUCCUCACAGCAACAACCUGGGAACGUAGGUACCAUCAUUUCCCCAUUUUCAACUGAGACAACAGGAGCCCUUAGAAGAGAAGUAAUCUGCUCGGACACACAUAGUGGGGUAGCUGAGUUCAAACCUGGAGUCUGAGUCUCUCUCUGCACUCUUAACCAAAUACCACCUCACAUAGAGACUCAGCAUAGAUUCAGUCUUUAUUUUUAGUGCCUGAGGUUUUGGUCACAAACACACAAUUUCCACUGUGGUUCUCUUUUCUUUAAAAUCAGAUUCUCCAAUACCUUCAGUAUUUAUUAGUUUUGUCUUAUAAAAAUUCUACUUUUUAAACUUCCAACCUGUGAGUUAAUAGAGAGAAGAAAAGAUGAUUUUCUUUGAAUUUACCAUCCUUGCUUUUGUUUUUACAGCAGAAAGUCCAUACCUACUUCAGGAUAAUAGUGAGUCUCUGGAAUCUGGGAAGCCAUGGUCUUGGGCUUCUCCAGACAUACCUUUUAAACUCCAUUGAGGUCAAUGCUACUUUGCAGGUUGCUUUCCCGCCCCAUAUUUUUUUUGUAAAUUCUGUAACAUUUAUACUACAAUAUCCCCCAGUUAAUUUUUACUUCAUUCCGUGUGCUUUCUGUUACCCAUGGUCAACUAUGGUCUAAAAUAUUAAUAGGAAAUUCCAGAAAUAAACAAUUCAUAAGUGUUAAAUUACUCAGGACACUGAAUAUUGUGUUCUAAUUUCAUUCUUUUCUGCUCCAUCCUGCCUGGGGCACAAAUCACCCAAGACUAACAUAUCCAGGUAGUGUAUGCUACCUGCUCUGGGGCAAUUCAGAGGUUCCCUUCACUUUUAUUAGAGACUGGAAUAUGUUUUCUAUUUUAUUAUUAGUUACUGUUGUUAAUUUCUUAGUGUGCCUAAUUUAUAAAUUAAAUUUUAUCAUUUGUAUGCAUGUAUAGGGGGAAAAAAAGCACAGAUAGUAGAGAGUGAACCCUCUAUGGGUGGUUUCAAGUGUUCACCGAGGGCGCUGAAAUCUACGCUCUGAAGGCAAGGGGAGACCACUACAUAUUUUAUGGACACUUAAGUAUUCUUAAUCCAGGUUAGCCAGAGGAGAUGCACCAAAUUGAACUGGAGCUCCAGUGCCUAACUUUAAAAUUUGGUGACCCUUGGUCACUUUUUGCCACUGGCCUUCGAUUUUUGGUGCACAUCCUUGAUAAUCAAACAUGCCAUUUUUAAUCUCUCUCGACAUAUGUGAUUUUUGUUUUAAAUGCGAUCAAAGGAGGUUUGAGUGCAUACAGAAUGCACCAGCAAGCUGAUUCCAGUCCUGAAGUUCUCUUUAUCACAUGGAGGAUUGGCAAGAACAGUCAGCCAAUGUCACACCAAGAAAUUAGUCUUCCUGGCCUCACCAUGGCCACAGUUCUGUCAUAGCAGGUCUUCACAUCCCUUCGCCCCACACCUGCUGCUCACUGUCUUCCAAGGUGGGAUGGCUGCUGUCUCUGUGCAAACAAAUCAGAAAUAUGGAGAUGCUUAGCAAGACACAAACCUGCUCUCUAUGCUGUGACUCCCCUAGGCCAUGAGAUUAGGGUGGCCCCGUUGGCCCAGUGCUUCUGCCUUUUGUAACUGGGUGUGGGUAGGUGUGGUGCUAAACCAACUCGCCUCAGGAAGCUGAUAUCUCCAUCUCUGCAACCUUUUAUAUUCCUCUGCACUCACACAUCAUAUGUAUACCCAUCGUGUCUUCACGAGCGUACGUGUCCCUCUAAGUGGGAAGUCCUGUAAGAAAGCUGUCUGCCCCAUCAGCUCUGAUUUGCCAGCAUGUUGCACAGCUCCUGGGAGACAAUUUAUUGUCACAGUAUUUGUUGAAUGAAUGGCCAUGAUUCAGACU